AAGCGGUGUAUACUGUUCUAAUACUACGGGUAAGUGCAUGGGCAUUAUACACUCGAUCCCAAGCGUAGACACCUAUUCCAGCAGCACCAACAAAUACGAACCUCUUCAUCCAUUUACGUUUGUUACCAGGAACUCCAUGAUUUUGCAAUGCUUGACUGUUAUAACGUACAUCAGCAUAUGUCUUUGAUCGCUUAAUGAAGCGACUGGUAGUUUUCUGCAGUAGAGAAAUUGUUCUCCACGAAGUCAACAUCUCUACGGGAUGAAGGCUUUGAAGAAGACGAAUUUGAGCAGAAGUAAACUAAGUUCAACACUUUGGAUUCAAGGAAGGUAGUAAAGGGACUAUCAUAAAUAGAUCAAGUUGGCGCUGUGUCCUUUCAACAUUCUCAACUUUCUGACCUAAGGCAGCCAUUGAAAUGCAUUCUCCCAUUUAGCGUAUCAUACUUUUGAUAAAUUAACUGAAGAUAACGUCGCCAGUAUACUAUUAUUUUAGACAUUAUAUUACACAAUUCAUAAAUAAUGAUAUUCAGUGUAGUCGUUAUGAAUGAGGGAUUCUGUCAAUAACUUUUUUAUUACAAGGUGAUAUGCUACUACAGCUCCGAUAACACUUAAGAACAUUGCUCAUUGAUAUACUGAAAGUAUUAAAUGCUAUGUCGGUCAAUUGCUCGUCGAAGAAUCGCAGAGCAACAGAUCUAUUCAAUCCAAAAACAGGUUAGGGUUAUAAAC